AUGAGUUAGGGUCUCCCAGGCCCGAUCUCCAACCCUAUGUAUAAUUACCACGUUGCUUUGGCGAGCCCGUCCGUAACCGGACCGCUGGAGGUUUACACCUCUGGCCAGCGCUCGUCAGUAGCCCACAACAAACUCUUGUAACCAUGUUAAAUCUGAAAAAUAGUUAAAUAAACUA
rnacentral:misc_RNA from 1 species